GAAUAUUUUUUGUUCAGCAUGAUAUAAAGCACUGUGAUUAAAUAGAAACUAUGCAAUUCAACUUUUUCCAGCUUAAUGGUUUUCAGAUGUUCACGGAGUAAGAAUGGCUGGAGCUAUCAUUGAGAACAUGAGUGGUCGGAAACUAGCCAUAAUAGGUUCAGUUCUCCUGCUAGGCCAGAUAUUCUGCUUUAUUAUCGGAGCUGUUUUAUCUCCGGCUCCGAACAAUUCCAACCAACAUUUAGCGACCAAGUGUUACAACCCCCGUGGAUCUAAGGAGAAAGAUGCAUGGUUUAUCCCGCACGGAGACGACUCUUGUCGCAGGAUUGACUCCGUCGCAGACCAGGAGAUUCUCGACAACCACAUGACAGCGGACAACGUAGUGUUCGCGGUUCACAUGCCACCAAAGAAGUCGAAUACUCAAUUUGAUUUUUCAAGAUGGCAGCAGAACCUGAUCGGAGUAAUGAUGCUGGAUAUUGAGUACCAGGAGGAGGACGAACCUCUCAAGGAGGUUCAUCUAAUGGUUGAGGCGAGGUUGGGAUACAGGAACAAAGAAGACCCCCCCGGGGUCUGGACGGAGUAUGCGAAAAGUUUUGAAGCUCGGAACCUGAACUGUGACAUAGACGAGGAGAAACGUGUACCUGGAUACUAUUACAAUUGCUCCAUGCUUCCACUGUUUGAUCUGGGAUCUCUGCACCAUGAUUACUACCUACUCAAUAUCCGUCUACCCACAGUGUUCCUGGACAGUAGGAACCAGGUUCAGGAGAUAAAUGAGGAUAUUGGUAAGCUGGUGGAUAUCUGGUUAAUAGCUAUAAAUCAGAACGGAGGUUUUACUAAGAUCUGGGUCUCUCUGAAAACAGUUUUCUUCCCAAUUAUCAUCCUUGAGAUGAUUUGGUUUUGGAACCGGAUCAGUAUGUUAUCCCGAGCUCCGAACCUUCUGGAGAAAACCCUUCUCUCCCUUGGUUUGGCGUUAACAUUCCUCAACCUGCCAUUAGAGUACUUGACCCUGGCCUACGAGAUGCCUUGGUUAAAUCUCUUUAAUGAUAUCAAGCAAGGAAUUUUCUACGCUAACCUUCUCAUCUUCUGGUUGAUCUUCGCCGGGGAGCAUCUGAUGAGCGAUCAAGGGGUCGGAGAUCCCAACGGUAUCUUUGCUUACUGGAAGAACCUCUCCGUGGUUCUGUUCGGUUGUCUUUGCUUAUUUGUGUUCGAUAUGUGCGAGAGAGGAGUUCAGCUGCAGAACCCGUUCUACUCUAUCUGGGUGACGGAGCUGGGAACCAACCUGGCUCUGGGUUUUAUCAUCCUGGCCGGAAUCUCUGCUGGAUUAUACUUCUUGUUUCUCUGCUACUUGAUCCGCAAGGUUUUCCUUAAUAUCGCGGAUAGAUCUUCUUCAUUCACGAGUAUGUCGCAGAUCAGGCGACUCCACUAUCAGGGGAUAAUCUGGAGAUUCAAAUUCCUGAUGCUGGCCACCCUUCUCACCGCGGCACUCACCGUCAUCGGGUUCAUCAUCGGUCAGGUGUCGGAGGGAGCUUACAAGUGGGACGAGGAUCUUGGAUCUACUCUCCAGUAUACAUCAGGGUUCCUCACCGGGGUCUACGGUCUCUGGAACAUUUACAUCUUCGGUCUUCUCUUCCUCUACGCUCCUAGUCAUAAAACUUGGGGGAAUGAAGAUACGCAUUCUACAGGCGAAGAAGUUGAGUUUGAUGUUACCGGAGCCGGGACACAGGGAGAUCAAUCAGAAAUGAGCUCUCUUACAGAGUUCAUCCGACAUCAAGCCACAGACUAAACUAUCCGAUAUCAAGCCACAGACUAAACUAUCCGACAUCAAGCCAUAGACUAAACUAUCCGACAUCAAGCCACAGACUAAACUAUCCGAUAUCAAGCCACGUACUAAACUAUCCGAUAUCAAGCCACUGACUAAACUAUCCGAUAUCAAGCCACAGACUAAACUAUCCGAUAUCAAGCCACAGACUAAACUAUCCGAUAUCAAGCCAUAGAUUAAACUAUCCGACACCAGACCACCGACUUGUUAAUCUUUUUAACUGACAAUUGUACUUGUGGAAUUUUUACUCUUUAAAUGCUUCAUUUUAAUUGUUUUAUAUUUGGUAAUUUUUUCCAGAUUAAGGCUCUUAAACUAAGUGUAUGCUAAUAAUUGUGCUUCAGCAUGUUUGUACUUCAUAUGCAUAAUGAGCAUAUGCAUCGUGCAAUACAACUUUUUAAGUACACAUCCUUGUAUUUGAUUUAAACCAAUAAUAUUUAUCUCUGUGUUAGUAUAUAUUACAUCUGUGUUAACCUCUGUGCCAACCAAAUAUUGUCAUAAAUCUCGAAUAUUGUUCUGGAAUCUCCUUCCCUUCUCUCUUUUACAAUUUUAAUGCUUGACCUCGAUCCUUGUCUGUACUUUUCAGACAAGAUUUUUUGUAUUUUAAACUAUUUUAUCAAUCCUGUUGUCCUUGCUUCCAACUUUACUCUGGCAUAAUUAGAUUUGUGAAAACUAAACGAAUAAGUUGUUUCAGGGGUGUAUAUUAGUUGUGAGACUAUUCCCCCCCCCCUUUUUUUAGUAUCAUAUUUUUUUCACAAAUCCAUUACUUAAAAACAGGUAUAUUUUACAGGUUUCUGAAGCCCAUGCAAACUUCCGUUUCCCCUUCCGUUUUUCCUUUUCCUCCUUCCCUUUCCCCUUCUUCCUUUUUUUCUUCAUUUUUUUCCCAAACCCAAUAAAAGCUCAUAUUAUUGCUCCCCCCCCCCGGGGGGUGGGGGAAAAAAGCAGAAAAAUAUACACCCCUGAGUUGUUUCUUUCAACUAAUUUAGGACAUUUAUAUAUAUUAUCAUUAUAUCUAACCUUAUCCUAGAUAUCUCAUAGAAAGGGAGUUUAUUUUCUGGGAUGAAAACCAGGCAUUAACUACUGUAUUUAAUACAAAACUGAUUGUUCAAAAAAGGUUCUCAAAUGUGUGAAAUAAAAUUUUUCUAAAAUAAACUCGAUAUUUGCAACCCGGACCCAUAUUUAAAAAUUUUCUCCAAUGAGAAAUCUUGGUAAAAUGUCGACUCCUGCAGAUUUAGCCCGCAGAAAACUUGUUUUAACCCCUUGAUUAAAUGUUUUUACUCCCUGCGACUGAUCAGUAUUAAUACUUGUUGUAUUUCA
rnacentral:misc_RNA from 1 species